rnacentral:rRNA from 1 species
UACGGGGGGGGCAAGCGUUGUUCGGAAUUACUGGGCGUAAAGGGCUCGUAGGUGGCCAACUAAGUCAGACGUGAAAUCCCCAGGCUUAACCUGGGAACUGCGUCUGAUACUGGAUGGCUUGAAUUCGGGAGAGGGAUGCAGAAUUCCAGGUGUAGCGGUGAAAUGCGUAGAUAUCUGGAGGAACACCGGUGGCGAAGGCGGCGUUCUGGACUGCAACUGACACUGAGAGACGAAAGCCAGGGGAGCAAACGGG